rnacentral:rRNA from 1 species
GACGAACGCUGGCGGCGUGCUUAACACAUGCAAGUCGAACGGAAAGGCCCUGCUUGCAGGGUACUCGAGUGGCGAACGGGUGAGUAACACGUGGGUGAUCUGCCCUGCACUUCGGGAUAAGCCUGGGAAACUGGGUCUAAUACCGGAUAGGAGCCAUUUUUAGUGUGAUGGUUGGAAAGUUUUUUCGGUGUAGGAUGAGCUCGCGGCCUAUCCGCUUGUUGGUGGGGUAAUGGCCUACCUAGGCGGCGGCGGGUAGCCGGCCUGAGUGGGUGGACGGCCACAUUGGGACUGGGAUACGGCCCAGACUCCUACGGGGGGCAGCAGUGGGGAAUAUUGCACAAUGGGCGCGAGCCUGAUGCAGCGACGCCGCGGGGGGGAUGACGGCCUUCGGGUUGUAAACUCCUUUCGCUAGGGACGAAGCUUUUUGUGACGGUACCUAGAUAAGAAGCACCGGCUAACUACGUG